AGAAGAAGCACCGGCUAACUACGUGCCAGCAGCCGCGGUAAUACGUAGGGUGCGAGCGUUAAUCGGGAAUUACUGGGCGUAAAGCGUGCGCAGGCGGUUUCGUAAGACAGAUGUGAAAUCCCCGGGCUUAACCUGGGAACUGCGUUUGUGACUGCGAGACUUGAGUGUGGCAGAGGGGGGUGGAAUUCCACGUGUAGCAGUGAAAUGCGUAGAGAUGUGGAGGAACACCGAUGGCGAAGGCAGCCCCCUGGGUCAACACUGACGCUCAUGCACGAAAGCGUGGGUAGCAAACAGGAUUAGAUACCCUGGUAGUCCACGCCCUAAACGAUGCGAACUAGGUGUUGGGGAAGGAGACUUUCUUAGUACCGCAGCUAACGCGUGAAGUUCGCCGCCUGGGGAGUACGGUCGCAAGAUUAAAACUCAAAGGAAUUGACGGGGACCCGCACAAGCGGUGGAUGAUGUGGAUUAAUUCGAUGCAACGCGAAAAACCUUACCUACCCUUGACAUGCCAGGAACUUGCCAGAGAUGGCUUGGUGCUCGAAAGAGAACCUGGACACAGGUGCUGCAUGGCUGUCGUCAGCUCGUGUCGUGAGAUGUUGGGUUAAGUCCCGCAACGAGCGCAACCCUUGUCAUUAGUUGCCAUCAUUUAGUUGGGCACUCUAAUGAGACUGCCGGUGACAAACCGGAGGAAGGUGGGGGUGACGUCAAGUCCUCAUGGCCCUUAUGGGUAGGGCUUCACACGUCAUACAAUGGUCGGUACAGAGGGUUGCCAAGCCGCGAGGUGGAGCCAAUCCCAGAAAGCCGAUCGUAGUCCGGAUCGGAGUCUGCAACUCGACUCCGUGAAGUCGGAAUCGCUAGUAAUCGUGGAUCAGCAUGCCACGGUGAAUACGUUCCCGGGUCU
rnacentral:rRNA from 1 species